UCCGCCUUCUGUCACAUUUUCACCAGAAGGCCGGCGAUUGUCGAUUUGUCAAGACUUGGUUAUCUUCGAUGAAUAUCAGUGUUCAUCCUUCAAUGUCACUGUUAAUUUUGUUCUUCUGUUCGUCGUCAAUUCAAGUCAUGAUUUAAGUGUUUUGCCAGUCGUCAGAUGAGGUCCCGGAUGGGAGGUUUCGUUUUGCUGCUGUCCUCGGAGAGGGUCGCCUGGGGGGACACUCCAUCUUCCACCUCCUGGGGCUGCCAAUGGCCCAGCUUCUCCGGGGAUCAUUAAGCUACGCACCGUCAUCCACCACCACCGCCUGCCACCAGCAAGGAACAUGUUGUGCCACGCAAUACGCAAGUUAUAGCCUACUUUGAAAUUACGAACAUUUUAAAAGACUUUAUAUUUGAAAGGGGCCCCGCAAUAUGAUUGAUUCUUCGUUAUUUAUUUUUAUAGUAUUGUUAUUUAUUUAAUUGUUAAUUUUUUCAAAGUUUAAAGUUAUUUACAGUUACCAUCUUUAAUUAUUUCAUUGUUAGGCCUAAUUUGUUACUGGUACCAGUUUUUGUAAUUCAGAAGGGUAAACUUAAAAUGCUUAUUUAUUUAAUUUUUUGAGAAAGCCUUAAGAGAUUUAAAAGAUAAAUUCUUUGGAUGGAGGAAAUGAUGUUGUUUGUUGUAAUUGUUGAAUUUUUGAGAUUAAUUAUAGGCUUUGUUGACAACUG